CCUACGGGAGGCAGCAGUAGGGAAUUUUCGUCAAUGGGCGCAAGCCUGAACGAGCAAUGCCGCGUGAACGAGGAAGGUCUUCGGAUCGUAAAGUUCUGUUGAAGGGGAAAAAGAGCGGAGAGAGGAAAUGGUCUCCGAUUGAUAUUACCCUUCGAGGAAGUCCCGGCUAACUACGUGCCAGCAGCCGCGGUAAUACGUGGGUGGCGAGCGUUAUCCGGAAUGAUUGGGCGUAAAGGGUGCGUAGGCGGCCUGCUAAGUCUGGGGUGAAAGGUACCGGCUCAACCGGUACAGGCUCUGGAAACUGGCGGGCUAGAGAGCAGGAGAGGGCGGUGGAACGCCAGGUGUAGCGGUAAAAUGCGUAGAUAUAUGGAAGAACACCAGUGGCGAAGGCGGCCGCCUGGCCUGUGACUGACGCUGAGGCACGAAAGCGUGGGGAGCAAAUAGGAUUAGAUACCCCUGUAGUC
rnacentral:rRNA from 1 species